UUUCCUUCGGGGCAGAGGAGACAGGUGGUGCAUGGUUGUCGUCAGCUCGUGUCGUGAGAUGUUGGGUUAAGUCCCGCAACGAGCGCAACCCUUGAUCUUAGUUGCCAGCACGUGGAGUGGGCACUCUAAGAUGACUGCCGGUGACAAACCGGAGGAAGGUGGGGAUGACGUCAAAUCAUCAUGCCCCUUAUGACCUGGGCUACACACGUACUACAAUGGUCGGUACAACGGGAAGCGAAGCCGCGAGGUGGAGCCAAUCCUUAUAAGCCGAUCUCAGUUCGGAUUGCAGGCUGCAACUCGCCUGCAUGAAGUCGGAAUUGCUAGUAAUCGCGGAUCAGCAU
rnacentral:rRNA from 1 species